UUUGCAUAUUCGCCAAAAUAUUAAUCGAAAAUUGUUGUCAAGAAAUCAAUUAAUUAAUCGUUUCAACGAAUUUCGCUCAUUCCUAAACAUUUAUCAAUGAAAGGUUUUAUCUGGAUUAUUACAAAUAUUACUUUCAAUUGUUAAUUCGAAGGUGUAAUUGAAAAUUAGAUUUAAUGGCUGAAUCUGUCCGUUUGACUAAUGAUGACUUUCGUAAGCUGUUGGCUACACCUCGGCAGCCUCCACCGGGGAGUACUCCUUCAAUAAGCUCGAGUACUACUACUUCGUCGUCUGCGGAGAAAAAGAAACCUCAAGGUUCCAGCAGUGAGCGUAAUGAUCUAAGACGAAAAAAGAAAAACUUUUAUGCAGCUUUGAAAAAACAAGAAGACGGAAAGCUACAACAACUCUCGGAAAAAUAUCGGGAUCGAGCACGUGAACGUCGUGACGGUGCAAAUCCAGAUUAUCAAAAUGUUAGCACCCCUGGUCAUGGCAGCACUAAUGCAUACCGCGCAGUUGCUCCAGAUUUGAAAUCAGGUAUAGACGCAGCGGAGCGACGGCGUCGAAUUAUACAAGAAUCGAAGUUUUUGGGCGGUGAUAUGCGUCACACCCAUUUAGUAAAAGGUCUCGAUUAUGCUCUACUUCAAAAAGUGCGUUCUGAAUUGCAAACUAAAGAAGUUGAAGAACAAGCAUUAGCUGUGGCGGCUGCUACUGAAAAGUUGGCUGAAACCGCUGCAGCCGAACAAGCUGAAGCAGAAAAUAAAGAAGCUGAUGACCUUAUGACUAUCAAAAGUGCUAUGGCGCGUAACCUGUUCAAUUUAAUUCAAUCUCGACGUUCAAAAGAGGUGCCAUGUAUUGAGCUAUUUGCUCCCGGGCGCAUGGCUUACGUUAUUGAUUUAGAAGAUGAUUUAGGUGAAACUGAUAUACCAACCACACUUAUACGAUCAAAAUUUGAAGUUCCCGUAAAUCGUGAGGACAUCGCUACGUUGACAACAAACGAUAUAGUUAUAAAUAAACUCUCUCAAAUUCUGUCCUACUUACGGGCGGGUGGCCGUAAUAAGAAAAACAAAAAGCGUGACAAAGACAAGCCACUUUUCUACGAAAAAGAAAUGGAACAAUCACUGAAUAUGCUCGCGUCGGGAUCCGUUGAGAAUGUUGGUGUAUCUGAAAAACCUUUAGGUGAUAGUAUAUAUGACGAUAUCGGGGAGUAUCAACCCAACUCAAAGAAAGAUAAUUCAAAAUUGGAAAAAAGUCAUACAAAAGGUGUGGCAGGUUCUUACUUUGGUGAUGUGAAAGAUAACGAGGAUAUAGAGCCUCUUGUUACUAGUAUACCCCCGCCGCCUAAAAUUACAAAAACCAUAGCUUCACGCUUCACCAACGAACCCGAAGGCUAUGCAGAGUGCUAUCCCGGACUAGAAGAGAUGAAUGAUGCCAUUGACGAUUCAGAUGAUGAAGUAGACUACACAAAAAUGGAUUUGGGUAAUAAAAAGGGACCGAUUGGGCGAUGGGACUUUGAUACUCAAGAAGAAUAUUCUGACUAUAUGAGCACUAAAGAAGCUUUACCUAAAGCUGCUUUUCAAUAUGGUGUUAAAAUGCAAGACGGUAGACGAACACGAAAAAACAAAACUGAAAAGAGUGAAAAGGCAGAGUUGGAUCGUGAAUGGCAAAAAAUUCAGAAUAUUAUACAAAAGCGAAAGUUUCCUAAAGGAAGUGCAGAUGAACCCGAAUAUAAAGCCGCUAAAUAUUAGUUUUCGAAAUAUAAGCAAACAUAUAUAGCAAAGUCUUUCCAAAAUAAUUUCAUAUUUCCUGUUUCAUACAUUUAGAAUCCAGCUGCCACUCUCCCGAUUUUGACGAAGUAAAAAUUCUUCAGGAGGAACAAUAUUACAGCGAGCGGUAUACAUUAAAAAUGCUGCUUAUAAUAAACACACCAACAAACAUAAGACCAAGCUUCAAAACGGACACUAAUGUCAUAGAUCGAAAUUCCUCGUGUUUUUAAUUAUUUACUCAUUACUUACGUUGGAGUCGAGUACGGAUAUACGAGAGUUCAGCCUCUUACAAUGCGCAUAAAGCUAGCAAUCACAACAAAAAC